UACGUAGGGGGCAAGCGUUAUCCGGAUUUACUGGGUGUAAAGGGAGCGUAGACGGCAGGGCAAGUCUGGAGUGAAAGGCAGGGGCCCGACCCCUGGACUGCUCUGGAAACUGUCCGGCUGGAGUGCAGGAGAGGUAAGUGGAAUUCCUAGUGUAGCGGUGAAAUGCGUAGAUAUUAGGAGGAACACCAGUGGCGAAGGCGGCUUACUGGACUGUAACUGACGUUGAGGCUCGAAAGCGUGGGGAGCAAACAGG
rnacentral:rRNA from 1 species